rnacentral:lncRNA from 1 species
GGCAGAGUCCAAUUUUGUCCCACCGAACGUGGGGCUAGCCUUAUCCUCCAGUCUGUGAGGCUGUUGCAGAUCAAGGUCCCCUGUGAGGGCAAACACAGCUGCCCAUCUGAGACCAUCUACUGGAGUCACCGGCAGCCUUCCAGGUUCCAUGUAUACACAGCACUUCUAUUUUGUGGGUGUCACGUGGUUGGAGUGGCUACUCGUUUCCGGUCCGGCUUCCCUACUGCACUGGCAUGCUGGCUGCCUUGGCCUUACUCCAGUGGUCACAUGGCAAAGGAUCCAGGAAAUGUGCCCUCAGCUGACUGGCCCAUGAUGGUGGGCAAUGGGAGGGAAGAGGAUUGUUACCAAACUCUAUAAUGAUUGGUUUGAUUCAGUCCCAUUCUUCUUGAGAUAGGUAUAUAUGUAUACAUAUAUUUAUAUGUAUAUGUAUAUAUAUAUACACACAUAUGUAUCUCAAAUCACUAUGUUGUACACCUGAAACUAAUAUAAUGUUAUAUGUCAAUUAUAUUUCGAUUUAAAAAGUACACAUUGAUAUAUGCAUACACAAAGUAAUAAAAAGAUAUGCAUCAACA